GUAUAAUGUAACACAGAUAAUCUAAAUGUAGGAGCCAUAUAUACAUUUUUGGAACUUAAUACAAAAUGUUAUUUUGUGUUUACGUGAGUUUAAUUUUUUACUCUGCUAUUUGAAAAGGAUAAGCAUCUGUAAUUGUAUUGUGCUUACAUGGUGCCUUUUGAUUGGUUAGUGACUAAUUCGUUUAUGAAAGAUGAAAGUACUUGCUCAUUGUAGAAGUCUGGCACCUUGAGAGUAACACAGUCUUUUGACCGUCACUUUCUAUUUGUUUUGAAUCUGUUUGUUAUUUUUAUUUUCUUUUAAGUUCAGUAAAGACUUAAAGAAGACCGUCGGAUUCAAGACCUCUUUUUUUUGGAAGAAAU